GAUGAAGAACGCAGCGAAAUGCGAUAAGUAGUGUGAAUUGCAGAAGUACCGUGAAUCAUCGAAUCUUUGAACGCAAAUUGCACUCUCUGGUAUUCCGGGGAGUAUGCCUGUUUGAGGGUCGCUUAACAAACCAUCGAUUUCGUUGCUUUUUUUUUUAAAGUGAUGUUUAUCGGAUUUGUGCCGUCUUUUUUUUUAUAUUUAAGUGGCUUAAAAUUGAUUUUUUUGGUACGAUCGAAGCGUAUUUUUAUGAUCAAUUUUUGGUUAAAGAAACGCACACGUACCGUUAUUUAUAUGAUGUAAUACGUUUGACUAUUGGAUUUAGUUCAUUCGUAUACGAUAUCUUUCAAUAUUUGACCUCAAAUCAGGUAAGAACACCCGCUGAACUUAAGCAUAUCAAUAAGCGGAGGA
rnacentral:misc_RNA from 1 species